CAGCAGCCGCGGUAAUACGUAGGUGGCAAGCGUUGUCCGGAAUUAUUGGGCGUAAAGCGCGCGCAGGUGGUUUAAUAAGUCUGAUGUGAAAGCCCACGGCUCAACCGUGGAGGGUCAUUGGAAACUGUUAAACUUGAGUGCAGGAGAGAAAAGUGGAAUUCCUAGUGUAGCGGUGAAAUGCGUAGAGAUUAGGAGGAACACCAGUGGCGAAGGCGGCUUUUUGGCCUGUAACUGACACUGAGGCGCGAAAGCGUGGGGAGCAAACAGGAUUAGAUACCCGGGUAGUCCCUGUCUCUUAUAC
rnacentral:rRNA from 1 species